UCUUUUCCAGAACCCAGUAGAUGUCCAGCACAGAGUAGAUGCUCCACAAAUAUUGGUCAAACAAAGGAGUGAAACACGGACUUUGGGCCUGUGGCCAGGGGUAGGACUGGGGCCCUUAAAAGGAGUGGACACUUUAGUAUUUGGAGAGAAAUCCAAGAACUAGGUUUCCGGGGAUGGUCCUGACUAAAGGAGAAAAAUGAACCGCCUCCCUCCUGAAGCUGUGCAUGGAGGGAGACCCGGACUCUCCUCGGGAUGCUGCUGGGGACACACUGCCUGGAGGAGACCGAUCUGAUGACCUCUGGGGGCCUGCAUCUUGCGCAGGGACAGCAAAAAGCAGGUGUGGAGGAAAGCUCAAAGCAGGAACCCCCACCCCGUCUAGAAGUGACUUGAGCCCCUGUGUCCAGACUUGCUCUCUCUGGGGUGGGGGGGAGCUAACUUUGAGAGGACCAGGCCAGCCCCUGCCUCCAGCCUCUGCCCCGGAAACCCCCUCAUUCCACGGUAUCUGCUUAAUCCCUGUUAG